AGCAGCCGCGGUAAUUCCAGCUCCAAUAGCGUAUAUUUAAGUUGUUGCAGUUAAAAAGCCGUAGUUGAAUUUCAGGCCUGGCUGGACGGUCCGCCCUUCGGGUGAGUACUGUCUGUGGCGGGUCCUACCUUCUGGCGAAGCGUCAUGGCCUUAACCGGCCGUGGCGGGGAACCAGGAUUUUACUGUGAAAAAUUAGAGUGUUCAAAGCAGGCAAUCGCUUGGAUAC
rnacentral:rRNA from 1 species